rnacentral:misc_RNA from 1 species
AACUUUCGGCAAUGGAUCUCUUGGUUCUGGCAUCGAUGAAGAAUGCAGCGAAAUGCGAUAAGUAGUGUGAAUUGCAGAAUUCAGUGAAUCAUCGAAUCUUUGAACGCACAUUGCGCCCCUCGGUAUCCCGGGGGGCAUGCCUGUUCGAGCGUCAUUUCUACCAUUCAAGCUUUGCUUGGUUUUGGGUAUUGUAGCACUCUUAAACUUGGAGUUCUACAUACCUUAAAUGUAGACGGCAGCAAAUAUAAGUUCUGAGCGUAGCAGUAAAAUCAUUUCGCUUUAAGAAACUAUAUUUUGUUAACCGAAAUAAAGUAUAUUUACAGUUUGACCUCGGAUCAGGCAGGGAUACCCGCUGAACUUAAGCAUAUCAAUAAGCGGAGGCU